GAUGAAGAACGCAGCGAAAUGCGAUAAGUAGUGUGAAUUGCAGAAUUCAGUGAAUCAUCGAAUCUUUGAACGCACAUUGCGCCCUUUGGUAUUCCAAAGGGCAUGCCUGUUCGAGCGUCAUUUGUACCCUCAAGCUUUGCUUGGUGUUGGGCGUCUUGUCUCUAGCUUUGCUGGAGACUCGCCUUAAAGUAAUUGGCAGCCGGCCUACUGGUUUCGGAGCGCAGCACAAGUCGCACUCUCUAUCAGCAAAGGUCUAGCAUCCAUUAAGCCUUUUUUUCAACUUUUGACCUCGGAUCAGGUAGGGAUACCCGCUGAACUUAAGCAUAUAAAUAAGCGGAGGA
rnacentral:misc_RNA from 1 species